UAUAUAAUUUAUAUUAUUCAGGCAAUGAAUUACUUUUGCAAGCCAUCGCAUUCUCUUAUGUUAUUAAUGAGUUAUGCUGAUUUGUUAAGCAGUUUUAUCAGGCUUGAAAUGGCGUCCAGCCCCGACAGGUGAAUCGUCGGGGCUGAUUUUUUCUUAUUAUUGCAGCAGAAACUUCUCGAGGAACUGGCGGGU
rnacentral:misc_RNA from 1 species